GACGAAGGGGGCUAGCGUUGUUCGGAAUUACUGGCGUAAAGCGCGUGUAGGCGGUUGUUCAAGUCAGGUGUGAAAGCCUUGAGCUCAACUCAAGAAAUGCACUUGAUACUGGAUGACUAGAGGACCGGAGAGGAUAGUGGAAUUCCCAGUGUAGUGGUGAAAUACGUAGAGAUUGGGAAGAACACCAGUGGCGAAGGCGGCUAUCUGGACGGUUUCUGACGCUAAGACGCGAAAGCGUGGGGAGCAAACAGG
rnacentral:rRNA from 1 species